CGUCCGUGACUGAUCUCCCUCGAGCUCGAUCUCGAGAUCCCCUAAUUCAGGUUGGAGAUUGUAUUAGCCUGCUGCAACUUGCUCGUGAGCUUCUAUAUCCGAGAGAAUGGGAGAUUAGAUUAGAAUUUGACAACAAUAUUUGUGGUUAUGUAAUUUAUGUGUUUCUUGUUCUGUUUUUUGUAAUUUCACAAAUGGCUAUACUGCUGUAUUUCUGUAAUUUGUGUGGUUCUUGUUCUGUUUUUGCUGUUCUUUUAUUAUAUUUUGGCCAAUGACAAAGACUACUACAUA